GACGAACGCUGGCGGCGUGCUUAACACAUGCAAGUCGAACGGUGAAGCGCCUUCCUUUUUGGUGGGUGUGGAUGAGUGGCGAACGGGUGAGUAACACGUGAGUAACCUGCCCCCUUCUUCUGGAUAACCGCAUGAAAGUGUGGCUAAUACGGGAUAUUCUGGGUCUGUCGCAUGAUGGGUCUGGGAAAGAUAUUGUUUCGGUGGGGGAUGGGCUCGCGGCCUAUCAGCUUGUGGGUGGGGUGAUGGCCUACCAAGGCGGUGACGGGUAGCCGGCCUGAGAGGGUGGACGGUCACACUGGGACUGAGACACGGCCCAGACUCCUACGGGAGGCAGCAGUGGGGAAUAUUGCACAAUGGGCGCAAGCCUGAUGCAGCGACGCCGCGUGAGGGAUGGAGGCCUUCGGGUUGUGAACCUCUUUCGCCAGUGAAGCAGGCCUGCCUCGUUUGUGGGUGGGUUGACGGUAGCUGGAGAAGAAGCGCCGGCUAACUACGUG
rnacentral:rRNA from 1 species